CCCACAUUAUAAAGAUACCUUUUCCUGGUACGAGUUGUACCAGCGCCAGUAAAUGUAAACAAGACGCCUAGUAGAUCAUAAACGUUUCAAAAACUAAUACCAACAUACCGUAAACCUCGACAGAGAAACAUGUUCAAAUUUUAAAUUUGAAGACUGCGCAUUUUUGCGUCCCACUGAGCUACACAGCACUUACCUGGUUCAGAGUAUCGUUUGUCUUCUUUUGCGUGAAAGUAAACCUUAACGAACUAUAUGAGAGGCAGAGGAAUUCCUCUAAACCAGAAUUCAAAGACUUGUCAGCUUCAUCAAAAAUGCCAUAAAAGUAAUUCUCAUCUGUUCUAAUUUCUGUGAAAUGUUGUCGUAAAAACUUCUCCUUCUAUUCCGAGAGAGUUUGUGACAUUGUUCGAGUGCGGGAAUGGUUGGAUUUUACAGUUCCCGCCAGAUUCAGCCAUGUGGCAUUCUAUUUUUAUACCGGAAGUUUGCAAUGCCUAAUACACCGGAAGUCAAUGUAGCACACCGCUGAGAGCCGGGGAGUCAGUCGGGAUUUCCGACUACGUACCGGUGAUCGGUUCCGUAAAACCGCUGACUUCCCGCAGACUCACCCUUCCUCUACGCUGGUGGAAAAUUCUUCCUAUUCCAAAGAGGUCUAGAAGAGGGUGUGACCGAAAGACCGCGCGGGGGAAAGAAACAUCGUAUGACAACAAAACUCGGUAGAGGUCAUAUAAGCUUCAAGUGGGGUGCAUUCAGAUGGACAUGUGACGUCAUAGAUGACGAACGCAGAACAUUUUGAAAACGAAACAAAAAAGUUACGUGGGGCGUUUGGACGAGGUCUAAGAAAAGCUGUGCAGGGGACUUGUUUUCCCAAAGAAAAAAAAAAUCAAAUUAGUACCCUUUUAGCAAAGGCACCCGACUCUUCAUCCUCUUAUUUUCUUUUCCAGCGAUUCCCACCACAGAAACCCCAACAAUGGGUACAUUCUACAUCGGUCAGCAGCUAUUCCUGGGGGUGUCUAACUUGACAGCAAAAGCUUUGUGGUCUACAAAUGGCGCAAGUAGAAAACAAGAGCAUGUGAGUGGAGGAUGGAAGUAAAUGCUAUCCAUGAGACAAGGCUAAAAAUCUCGCGACCCCUAGGACCUAAACUGCCACUCUAGCCACUAAAGUCAUAACAAGCCACCACAAAUUUCAGGGGGAUACACUAUUCCUACAUUGUUUGCGCCAGCUAUGUCUUUGCUAACAGGCAGGAGGUACAUGAAUAUUUACAGACCA